UAACUCGGGUUUCCCUUAAAAACGCAAAAAUUUUUUCCCCUUUUUACUAAAGAUUUCCGUGGGGGGGAACCCACUAAAAUGACCCUUACUAAAUUUUUUUUCAAAACCCCUUCGGGGGGUUCA